AACGAACGCUGGCGGCAGGCUUAACACAUGCAAGUCGAACGCACCGCAAGGUGAGUGGCAGACGGGUGAGUAACACGUGGGGAUCUGCCCAAUGGUACGGAAUAGCUCCGGGAAACUGGAAUUAAUACCGUAUGUGCCCUUCGGGGGAAAGAUUUAUCGCCAUUGGAUGAACCCGCGUCGGAUUAGCUAGUUGGUGUGGUAAAGGCGCACCAAGGCGACGAUCCGUAGCUGGUCUGAGAGGACGAUCAGCCACACUGGGACUGAGACACGGCCCAGACUCCUACGGGAGGCAGCAGUGGGGAAUAUUGGACAAUGGGCGCAAGCCUGAUCCAGCCAUGCCGCGUGAGUGAUGAAGGCCUUAGGGUUGUAAAGCUCUUUCACCGACGAAGAUAAUGACGGUAGUCGGAGAAGAAGCCCCGGCUAACUUCGUGCCAGCCGCCGCGGUAACAC
rnacentral:rRNA from 1 species